rnacentral:rRNA from 1 species
UACGAAGGGGGCAAGCGUUGUCCGGAUUUACUGGGCGUAAAGAGCGCGAAGGCGGUCGUUCAAGUCGGGUGUGAAAGCCCCCGGCUCAACUGGGGAGGGUCACGCGAUACUGAUCGACUCGAAGGCAGGAGAGGGUAGUGGAAUUCCCAGUGUAGCGGUGAAAUGCGCAGAUAUCAGGAGGAACACCGGUGGCGAAGGCGGGUCUCUGGGCCGAUACUGACGCUGAGGAGCGAAAGCGUGGGGAGCGAACAGG